GAUAAACAGGCAGGGGUCAGAUACCAGAUGAAUCACAUAAGGCAGGAUAGGCACACUGAAGUUGAUACCACAGUAAGCACAGUAGAACCUAGCAAUGAGGUAGAGGUAGGCUGUGAUUAUAUAGGGGAUAGAAGGUUAGUUAGGUUAGUGAUGUGAUGGGAAGGUUAGUGCUUUAAACCACUUCAGCUAUACUUUACCUUUAAGAG